rnacentral:tRNA from 1 species
GCCCGGCUAGCUCAGUCGGUAGAGCAUGAGACUCUUAAUCUCAUGGUCGUGGGUACGAGCCCCACGCUGGGCG